rnacentral:lncRNA from 1 species
ACUUCAGAGAAGUGGUAAAAAUCCUGAAUAGGGCCGGCGCCGUGGCUCAUUAGGCUAAUCCUCUGCCUGCGGCGCCAGCACACCAGGUUCUAGUCCUGGUCAGGGUGCCGGAUUCUGUCCCGGUUGCCCCUCUUCCAGGCCAGCUCUCUGCUAUGGCCCAGGAGUGCAGUGGAGGAUGGCCCAAGUGCUUGGGCCCUGCACCCCAUGGGAGACCAGGAUAAGCACCUGGCUCCUGGCUUCGGAUCAGCGCGAUGCGCCGGCUGUGGUGGCCAUUGGAGGGUGAACCAAUGACAAAGGAAGACCUUUCUCUCUGUCUCUCUCUCUCUCACUGUCCACUCUGCCUGUUUUUAAAAAAAGAUCCUGAAUAACGUCAGGGUCAAACGUGUAGUUGAGCGGCCAUUUGGAUUGGAUGUCAAGAUCAUCCAUGGGCCACUCCUGAUUUCAAAAGAAAGAAGAGGCAAUGGUGGUUGAGAUCUGGGGCCAAUUUGAGAGGAACAAGAUUAUUUAGGAGAAAACCAAGAGGAGAGUAGGAUAGAAUGUGGGAUGAAGAAGCUCCCGUAGCAACCUGCAGGGUCGGACUGGCGGAUAGCAGGCAUCCCCAAUGUGGAAAGUAAGGGAGCAGAGGGUGGGGUCAUCACCUACACCACUGUUGCCCGAGGCAUCAAGUCUGUGGAGUGGCAUAAAGCCCAUGGAGGUUGUGAUGCCAGAUACCAGGACUUUGAAAUGAAGCAGAGUGGAACUACGACCUGUGGUAGAGGUCGCCGUGAGAGAAUUCCCCACCCCUGGUCUUACCUCAGGGUUUUGGAGGGCUGGUGUGUGGAUGGAAAUCACAGUGCAUUCGGAUUAUUGACUUGUCUUUUGGGACGGAAAUUGCCUUGUACAAAAUGAACCAACAAAUGGACCCAAUGGGAAUGAAGUCAUCCGUCACUGAAAUCUCAAUGCUCCUUCGUGAGGACGCGGGAACAGACAUCCCGCCUGUAAACCUGCACUAUGACAAGCUGAGCAAAGUGCUGACAGCUUGGUGCAUCACGGAGUAAUUCUGUAAAUUUUUAUCUAUCUUUUUUUUUUUUUUAAAUUUAUUCGACAGGUAGAGUUAUAGACAGUGAGAGAGAGAGAGAGAGAAAGGUCUUCCU